UGCACCCGCAGACGAUUAUCGCCGGGUGGAGAGCGGCCACGCAGGCUUCACAUUCGGCGCUGAUUGGCGUGGCUCAGGACAAUUCUAAGGAUGCGGAAAAGUUCCGAGAGGAUUUGAUGAACAUUUCCAAGUUGGCCGUCGAUGCCGUGAUGCGGUUGAAAUGAUCCGGGAAAUAGACCGGCGGUUGCUUGGAGGAUUCGUUCCUGGACAAGGGUUUCCUGCUGGACAAGAAGCAUCAAGAACGCAAAGAUCUUGAUCGCCAACACGCCGAUGGUCACGGUCAAGAUCAAGGUUUUAGGAUCGAGCAUCAAGAUGAGGUCGCCAAAAAGAAGAAGAUGAAGGACAAGGUGACGACCAGGACGGUUCGUCUCGGCCGUUGCGAUCUGUACCGUCGUAAUCCGUGGGGCAACCCAGCAGAUCAUCGACGAAGCGGAUCUUUGGCUGCAUGACGCCUUUCGCGUGCUGGCCGCGGAAACGUCCGGUAAUGAAUCGAUGGCUAUGGAAGCGUUCGGUGGCGCUCUGCUCUAGCUGCCGACGCCGAUCGCCGACAACGAAGAGUACGACUCCGUUUGUAAUGCUCAGCUAAACGAAGAGUGCACGUGUAAUCCACGUGACCAUCGAAGAACGAUGCAGCGAUGGCAGGACCUGGGAAUAGUUCGGGUGCAAAACGGCGCUCAAAACCAAAAAAAAAAUCUGCCGCGAUCAAGAAGCCGCUGAUGCCUACUAAUUCCAGGAUGAAGAUCGAGCGCUGCAAAAGACGCUCUCGCAGAUCCGCAGCAUAAUGAACACACUGGACAGCCGGAUCAUGCUGCUGGAGGUGCUGACGAAACAACGAUUGUUUCUAUUAAGAUGAGCAAAACUACUAGUCAGAUGAGUUUUAGAUAUAGUUAGAAUACUUUAUUCACAUGAACUGUAAUAGAGACUUUAAUACUACUUAUAAAUAUAUUUAAAGUAACACUUUUUUAAACGAAA
rnacentral:lncRNA from 1 species